UCUUUCCGGAAUUGAGUGGCAAACGGGUGAGUAACACGUAAACAACCUGCCUUCAGGAUGGGAACAACAGUUGGAAACGACUGCUAAUACCGCAUAUGCCAUAAGAGCCACAUGGUUCAAGUGGGAAAGGAGCAAUCCGCUGAUAGAUGGACUUAUAUCUGAUUAGCUAGUUGGUGUGGUAACGGCAUACCAAGGCGAUGAUCAGUAGCCGAACUGAGAGGUUAAUCGGCCACAUUGGGACUGAGAUACGGCCCAGACUCC
rnacentral:rRNA from 1 species